UACAGAGGGGGCAAGCGUUGUUCGGAAUUACUGGGCGUAAAGGGCGCGUAGGCGGCCGCCUAAGUCAGACGUGAAAUCCCUCGGCUCAACCGGGGAACUGCGUCUGAUACUGGGUGGCUUGAAUCCGGGAGAGGGAUGCGGAAUUCCAGGUGUAGCGGUGAAAUGCGUAGAUAUCUGGAGGAACACCGGUGGCGAAGGCGGCAUCCUGGACCGACACUGACGCUGAGGCGCGAAAGCUAGGGGAGCAAACGGG
rnacentral:rRNA from 1 species